rnacentral:tRNA from 1 species
GGGAAGGUAGCUCAGUGGUAGAGUACUUGCCUUGCAUGCAUGAGGCCCUGGGUUCAAUUCCUCAGCACCA